rnacentral:rRNA from 1 species
AGGACGAACGCUGGCGGCGUGCUUAACACAUGCAAGUCGAGCGAAGCCCAUCCUUCGGGGUGGUGACUGAGCGGCGAACGGGUGAGUAACACGUGGGCAACCUACCCUCAGCUCUGGGAUAACCCCGGGAAAACCGGAGCUAAUACCGGAUAUGACCUUGAACGACAUCGUUCUUGGUGGAAAGUUUUUCGGCUGAGGAUGGGCCCGCGGCCUAUCAGCUUGUUGGUGAGGUAACGGCCCACCAAGGCGACGACGGGUAGCCGGCCUGAGAGGGCGAUCGGCCACACUGGGACUGAGACACGGCCCAGACUCCUACGGGAGGCAGCAGUGGGGAAUAUUGCGCAAUGGGCGAAAGCCUGACGCAGCGACGCCGCGUGAGGGAUGAAGGCCUUCGGGUUGUAAACCUCUUUCAGCAGGGACGAAGCGAAAGUGACGGUACCUGCAGAAGAAGCACCGGCAACUACGCGCCAGCAGCCGC